CCCCGCGCUGAGGGAAGGCGCGGGAGGGAAGGGCUGACACCCGGAGGGACCUUCACAGCAUUGAGGGGUCGGUCUGGGCAAACCUCAUGAAGCUCCACAAGGCCAAGUGCAAGGUCCUGGGACAGGGAAAUCCCAAGCACGAGUACAGCUGGGCAGAGAACGGACUGAGAGCAGGCCUGAAGAGGUCUUGGGUGUGUUGAGAAGCUCAACAUGACCUGGCAGUGGGCACUUGCAGCCCAGAAAGCCAGAAGUGUCCUGGGCUGCAGGAAAGCAGCAUGAGCAGCAGGCUGAGGGAGGGGAUUCUGCCCCUCUACUGGUGAGACCCACCUGGAAUGCUGCAUCUAGCAUUGGAGCACCUCUUCUGUAAAGACAGGCUGAGAGUGCUGGGGUUGUUCAGCCUGGAACAGAGAAGCCUUGAGGGAAACCUUACAGCAGCUUUCCAGUGCCUACAAGAAAGCUGGAAGAGACUUUCUACAAGGGCACGCAGUGAUAGGACAAGGGGUAUUGGAUUUGUAAUGAACAAGAGUAGCUUUGGAUUAUGUAUUAGGAAGAAAGCCAUUAUUGAGAAGUUAGUGAGACACCAGAACAAGUUGCCCAGAAAAGCUGUGGAUGCCUCAUCCCCAGAAGUGUUCCAGGCCUGCUUGGAGGGGCCUUUGAGCAGCUGGUGUAGUGGGAGAUGUCCCUGUCCCAUGGCAGGGGUUUGGAACUAGCCGAUUUUUAAGGUCCCUCCCAACCCAAACCAUUCUAUGACAAUUCAGCAACUUUUUGUUCAGCUCUACAUUAGGCCACCAUCACAUGUCACACCAACUCCAUGGCUGCAACUCCACUGCACCUCCCCCGGCAAAGAGAAAAAAGGCACGUAGCCUUUUUUCCACCAGAACUGUGAGGCCCACACUGGGCAUUAAUAGCAGCCAGAGCCCUAAACCCAACAGCUGAGCCUUCCACAGCCCACCAGUUAACUAGAACAUCUGCUGCCAUCUUUGAGCCUGUACUUGGUGUUUGCCUGACCCUCCCAGCUGCAACACCCUACUUUUCCCUGGAAUUACCAGCUGCAAGAGGGGCAAGGCAGGCACUGUCACAGCAGUGUGGUUUUCUUUGCAGAGCCAGAAGUGUAGGUAGAACCUAAGCCCCAUAUUUUAGCUUUUAAGUGAAAAUGCCCAGGACUGUACGUUAAUUCCUGGUAAGUUUCAUCACACAUUUUCACAGUGACUUUUCUCAAGCAUUUUUUACUGCAGAAAGCUGUCACAGCACUGACUUGAUAACCAUGUACACCUCAGGCUGUUAUCUCUGCCCUCCAUGCUGAUAAAGCCCCUUUCAGCGUUCACCUAACAGCUACACAAACAUUUCAGCUUUGGAGAUGUGGAUCUUAUAUAGGUGUGCCUGGUGUACAUCCAUGGUGGUACAGUGCAGCAUGUACACGCAUGAUCAGAUGUUUUCCAAAAUGUUUCUUAAGGACAAAAUUCAUAGCUGUACCAAGCUGUGUGCAUACCGGGGUCAAAUUUAGACAUAAGUGUUGCAGCGUGUCCUCCUGAUAUUUACUUUGUUUCAUAAGGUAUCACACAACAGGCUAAUUUGAAAGUGAGAGCUGGAACUGUUCCACGGGAAAGAAAACUGAGGCUACCAGAAUGCUGCUAAGACACCAGUGUUACAAAACUGUCUUUAAAUAGUACUUUGGGAACGAUGUCAAGAAAUAUAUAUUUUCUAUGCAGCCUUCCACAGCAUACCAAUUUUCAGUCAUUUUUACUUUCCUUAAACAGGACACAGAUAAAAACUCAGAGCCUGCUGGCAUUAUUUAAAGUAUUGCUUUACUUCCCCAUCACACACACUUUUUUCCUUAACAUAAGAAUAUUCUUAAAGAGAAUUAAACACUUUAUUAUUGUGUAUAUAAUGACAUGGACCUGUCACUGAAUAGAAGGAUUAAUCUACUCAGACUUCUGAUCCCAUACAUUUUUGUUUUCUACCACAAAAGACAUGGGCCAAGCACCCACCUGAGGCCUUUUGUCAGAGUGCUUCUCUGUGAAAAAAGAUAGCUUUCAAAGAUGGCUGGAAUAGGUUGUGAACUACACAGGAGUCAUAGCUUUUAGCGUACUUACUUACAAAUCAAGACUGCAAGCAAAUGGCUCUGGAAUUAUUUACAAGAAGGACUGAUUUCUAAUAUUUACCCUGGGCUUAUUGCUGCUUCCAGACCAGAUUUCUGUCUUGAAGAUGCAUUGCACCAGCAGCUCUGUUUUUUUGUGGUGACAACUCUCCAAAAAUACCUAGAAACAGAUUCAAGUUCUGGAUCCUCAAAACUACCUCCAUUUCCUGAGAAAUGGAGAAACAUCACCAGUUUCACAACAGGCAGAAAGUUCUAAGUAUCUUCAGAGCCUUUAAGUCAUCAACUUGAUUACAUGCUAUUAUCUUUGAUUUGUUGUUAACCACCACAACUAAUGACAGCCAGAAGCAUGCUCUUCUAUUCCCAUAUCUUUUCCAAUAGAAGCCACUUCAUCCAUAAACCUGAUAAGGUGCAUCAUAAGAUUUCAGUCUUUCUGCAAGCUUGCUGUAUAUACCAAUCUGUAUUAAAGACUAAUUUUCCUACAGAGUCUCACAUUUUAACCACAUCAUCUUUUGUUUCCCUUGUACCAGAAAUUACUUUUGUACACCAAACCUUAUGCUUUCAAAAUACUACCAAAAGUAGUUUCUGUUCCAGACAUGAACAGAACGCAUGAGCAGACAUGCGUUGCAGCCUCCACAAUUGACUUUCAGAAGAGCUUUAAAAUUCCCCCCAAAUGGUAAGACAGAAUGAGUCUUAGAACCAUAAGAAUAAACAUGAGUAAAGCCGGCCAUCAGGAAGAUCACCUGCACAUCUCUGCACUUGGAAGGCUGUCAGUUCCCUACUUCACAACAAGGAUGGCUCCAUCUAACAAAGCUGAGAAGUACCCAGUUCCCAGCUAGGAAAAGCAUACUGAAUUGACAAGCACACAAAUCCCUAUCAAACACCUUUCUCUGCCCCCACCACUCCACACAUCAGAUGUAGACAAGCACCACUACUCAUGACCACAGCAGCAGUCACACCACUUCUUGGUCUCCACCAUGCCACCUCACUGUCUGACAGCUGCACUUCAAAAAAGCCAUAGUUAAAGCAACAAUGAACUCACUAUGAUAAACCAUUUUCCCUGUGGUAAGUCAUGUAAAACCUAUCAGAGACAAGGAAUAAUUCACUACUGGAGUUAAUAACUGUAGUCAAGGCAUCAGAAGCCAGUUCCACAUCACUUCUGUGCCUGCAAAGCCACACUGAAUGUUGAGAUCUGCAUCACUCCAACCACUACAGCACAGCAAAUUUCUGUGACAUCUGCUGUCCUUGAUACACAAGGCCACCACAUAACUAGCUAGGCAACCUCUUGACUUUUUGGGGGCUGGUGUACUAAAAUGAAAGGGGAAAGCUCAAUGACUAAAACAGGUAAACACUACAGGGGUUUUACCCUCAUCAUAAUAAAAUUGGAGAUAAAAUUUAAGGGAUAUACUAAGUGUACUCCAGAUUUAAAAGACUCUUUUGUGGACACCCAUGAUUUGCUAUUCAAGCAGAAAAAAAAAUAAAUUCAAAUACGCCAAUAAAUUUACUCCAAGUCUGAAUACAUUACAAGAGCCAACUAUUUCAUGGGCAUUUUUUAAACUAUAGAAAGAGGCAGUCAAAGCAAUGUUUCAGUUAGGUAGAGAAGGUUGCAUUAAUUUCAAAAACUAAAAGUUGGAGUCUGUUGCACUGGUUAAUGAAUGAGGUGACUGUUCUCAAAGAUAUCCACACAUGUACAGAUCACAGCUACCAUGAACAGUUUUUACAGCACUGCUGUAUAAUCUCAUUCAGUUAUUUGACUACUGAUGGUAAUUAAGGACCAUAAUCCAUUGCCAAAAAAUAAACAAAUGUGAACAACCACCAAAACUUGGGCAAUAGAAAAAAUAGUGUGUGGAUAUUCCAGGCUUCUUGCAAAGUACUUCACUGUUCACAGAAAAUUUAAAGUUAUAAUAAGUUCUUAAGCAUGUACAAAAUAAGAAUGGAGCUGAACACAUCACAAGCACAGAAAAAACAACAGUAACUGAGAAAGUAUUGUUUAUACAGAAUUAGUAUUUUGAACCUGGAUAAUGAGGAACAAGAUUCACAGAUUAGAACUACUGAAGCAAGAGAAAACCACAAAGUUUAAGUUGUAGAGAUAGAGCCAAUCCAGCCUUCUUUCCUUUGGGGCCUGCACAGGAAUACAGCUAUACCUCAGACUUUUUGCAGAUCUGACUCUAGUAAGUUACUCUAUAAAAUGAGGAGCACACCAUUUUGUCUGUGGAAGACAUGGACUUCCCAUUCCAAGAAAGUGGAGAUCUGACCUAUUUCCAUCACUAGAAACAGAGCCCAAUGAUCAUUUAUACCCAAGCCCAAGCAGAUGAUCUUCCAAAACUCUUCAGGAUCAUCUGCACAACAAAUAUUACAGUGGUUAGAAAGCGUAACACUUCAGACUGGAACUCAAGUCAAAGUCCUGUGCAUGACGUAGGUGACAAAAUCCCUUCAUGGUUUGGAGGUAUAGCAGAACAGAAGCUACAGCUUCAUAGUAGAUUUUUAGGCUUUUCUUUUUUUUUUUCCCUUGGUAGCAGCAUGUGGUUAGGAAGCUCCUCUUUCACCAACCCACUGUGCACAAACAUAAUCCUUGUACUGUUCUGUACUGAUUGGGCUGAUUUGGGGAAGCUCACUUAAAACAAAGAAGAAAGAAAACCCCUAAGUAUUUUCAAACUAUCUCUGUAUCUCCACUUGAGGUGUGCCUACACAACUAUGUGACAGUGCAAGGGAAACAGUUUGAGUAUUUUACAGAGGGAAUAUAGACUUAAUUAGUUGUUUUAUAUACCAUAGAAAUGCAAGAUUGAAGUAAUUCAUAUUUAUUCAGAGUCCAACACCGAGAGAAUAUUACUGUAACUGUUUGGAAAUGCUUUUUCCCAACUUUCACCCAUGUGCACAACCCCUGUUACACCUCAGAGCAGAUUUUAAGUCAUCCCCCAGCACUCCAGCAGUAAACGUGCCAACAGUUUCCUUUUAAAAACAAGUCUAGAUUAUCUACUCAAAAUUGCAUUAGAGAUCAGCUGUUUUAGUACACAACAAAGCAGGAUGAAGGUAAAUGCAGAGAAUUGCACAAAGGAGGAUGACUUCUACCUGCAGAAAAAAUAUUGCAUAAUUGAAGGUGCACCUGCUGAUCUUCAUGAGUCAUGUUCUUUCAAAGCAUAAGCCUCCUUCCAGAGGCCCUCAGAAGCGAACAAAUACAUGUCCUUGAAUACCCAACUUUGUUUAGUCCUAGCAUUUAGAUGUUGAACACUGGCUUAUGCAUCAAAGUUUAAAAAAAACAAAACCAAACCAAACCAAGCCUUAAAUGAACACGAUCCUGGUAUCACCCCACUUCCUAGAAUAAAUCCACCAAGUAUAUCUUUGUGAAAGAGCCAUCAUAUUGUCAGUACCUCUUGACAGCAUCAGCUCCAGGCUAAUAAGACAUCCACUGAUCGGUAAGAAAUGUUUAUGAACAGCCACAGCACAAUACGAGACAGAUAUUAAAAAAGCAAUCUUCCAAAAUUACAGUCUAAAAGGUCGCAGAUUGAGAACUAGACAAUAGAGCUCUGAAUGUUGGGGGACAUUUUGUGAGGAAAUCUGAGAAACAAUAAAUCUGCAACAAUGAAA